CAAACGAACUUGGAGAUAGCUGGUUCUCUCCGAAAUAGCUUUAGGGCUAGCCUCGCGAGAGAGGAUAAUGGAGGUAGAGCACUGUUUGGACUAGGGGCCCGUCAGGGGUUACUGAAUCCAGAUAAACUCCGAAUUCCAUAUAUCUAUACGCGGGAGUCAGACUGCGAGUGAUAAGAUCCGUAGUCGAAAGGGAAACAGCCCAGAUCACCAGUUAAGGUCCCCAAAUCUAUGCUAAGUGGA
rnacentral:rRNA from 1 species